rnacentral:lncRNA from 1 species
GAUUUAUUCUUUAAUAUUAAUCGACUUUUCAUUUGAUUUGUUUCAAUUUUGUGUUUUAUUUUGUCAGGAACCUAAAACACAUGAGAAGUAAAGAUGAAUGGCACAAAUCCACCAUGAGAUAGAAAAAUGAAGAACAAAUAAAUAUAAACAAAGAUGGAGAACAAAGAGCAAAUAGUUUGGGUAAGAAAAUAAGUGUAAAGAGAAAGUUCUGAAAAUUAGAAAAAGUGGAAUUUAUGGAUUGGAUUUUAUGAUUUGGGUUAUUUCUUUUUACAAGAAUGAUUUUGUUUAUGUGAUCAUAAUAUUGUUAAACAAUUUUAACUCCUUACCAUCUCCAACCUCUCAGCCCAUACUCAAACUACACCAGAAAUGAUACAAAUGAUAGAAGUGAAAAGUUUUAAUAAACUGAAAAAAUAGUUGUUUACAAAAUGGAGUUCAACAGCCAAAAAAACAAUUUUUUAAGCAUGUUCAAAAAUGAUUUUACUCAAAAAAACAGAUAUAAACAUUUUCAAACCUUGACCGGAAAAGUGAUAGCUGCGGCGGCGAUGGUUUCCGGCGCGGUGGUUUCCGACGAACUUGCUCCUAUUG